rnacentral:misc_RNA from 1 species
AAGUCGUAACAAGGUAUCCGUAGGUGAACCUGCGGAUGGAUCAUUAACACAAAUCCUUUUGAGAGAAAGUGGAAACCAAAAGCUUUUUUUGGAAUCCCUUUCUUUCUAUCAACCCCACUUUUCAAAGCGAACUCGUCAACGGAAGGUUUCUCUGACUCUUUUGUGGAAGUGAGUCAAGGCCAAAAGAGAAACUUGCCGUUCGUUUUUUUUCACCUUUUUUUCCACAACUUAUAACCACAUUAACAAAAACAAAACAAAUUUGACUUAAACCUUUUUUUUUUUUGUUUUUUUUCGGACGAAAGUCUGGAAGACGCAAAAGAAAAAAAAAAAUUAACUAAUGUACAACUCUUAACAACGGAUAUCUUGGCUCUC